UAGGGAAUAUUGGACAAUGGGUGAGAGCCUGAUCCAGCCAUGCCGCGUGCAGGAAGAAGGCGUUAUGCGUUGUAAACUGCUUUUUGCCAGGGGAUAAAAUGACCGUGCGCGGUUAAUUGAAGGUACCUGGUGAAUAAGCCACGGCUAACUACGUGCCAGCAGCCGCGGUAAUACGUAGGUGGCAAGCGUUGUCCGGAUUUAUUGGGUUUAAAGGGUGCGUAGGUGGCCCUGUAAGUCAGUGGUGAAAUAUCUCAGCUUAACUGAGAGGGUGCCAUUGAUACUGCAGGGCUUGAGUACAGAUGAGGUAGGCGGAAUUGACGGUGUAGCGGUGAAAUGCAUAGAUAUCGUCAAGAACAUCGAUAGCGAAGGCAGCUUACCAAGCUGUAACUGACGCUGAGGCGCGAAAGCCAGGGGAGCAAACGGGAUUAGAUACCCCCGUAGUCCCUGAGCGGGCUGGCAAGGCGCAU
rnacentral:rRNA from 1 species